rnacentral:rRNA from 1 species
AUGACACGUCGCUCGAGCUUCCGUUAAUUGAUUAUGACGUACUUGUACUGAUUGAGAUUUUAACACGAAGUGAGUGGCGAACGGGUGAGUAACACGUGGGUAACCUGCCCAGAAGUAGGGGAUAACACCUGGAAACAGAUGCUAAUACCGUAUAACAGAGAAAACCGCAUGGUUUUCUUUUAAAAGAUGGCUCUGCUAUCACUUCUGGAUGGACCCGCGGCGUAUUAGCUAGUUGGUGAGGUAAAGGCUCACCAAGGCAGUGAUACGUAGCCGACCUGAGAGGGUAAUCGGCCACAUUGGGACUGAGACACGGCCCAGACUCCUACGGGAGGCAGCAGUAGGGAAUCUUCCACAAUGGACGCAAGUCUGAUGGAGCAACGCCGCGUGAGUGAAGAAGGGUUUCGGCUCGUAAAGCUCUGUUGUUAAAGAAGAACGUGGGUAAGAGUAACUGUUUACCCAGUGACGGUAUUUAACCAGAAAGCCACGGCUAACUACGUGCCAGCAGCCGCGGUAAUACGUAGGUGGCAAGCGUUAUCCGGAUUUAUUGGGCGUAAAGCGAGCGCAGGCGGUCUUUUAAGUCUAAUGUGAAAGCCUUCGGCUCAACCGAAGAAGUGCAUUGGAAACUGGGAGACUUGAGUGCAGAAGAGGACAGUGGAACUCCAUGUGUAGCGGUGAAAUGCGUAGAUAUAUGGAAGAACACCAGUGGCGAAGGCGGCUGUCUGGUCUGCAACUGACGCUGAGGCUCGAAAGCAUGGUAGCGAACAGGAUUAGAUACCCUGGUAGUCCAUGCCGUAAACGAUGAUUACUAAGUGUUGGAGGGUUUCCGCCCUUCAGUGCUGCAGCUAACGCAUUAAGUAAUCCGCCCUGGGAGAGUACGACCGCAAGGUUGAAAACUCAAAGAUUGACGGGGGCCCGCAAAGCCGGUGGAGCCAUGGUGUUUAAUUCGAG